rnacentral:rRNA from 1 species
UACGUAGGGUGCAAGCGUUAAUCGGAAUUACUGGGCGUAAAGCGUGCGCGGGCGGUUUUGUAAGUCUGUCGUGAAAGCCCCGGGCUCAACCUGGGAACUGCAUUUGUGACUGCACAGCUGGAGUGCGGCAGAGGGGGAUGGAAUUCCGCGUGUAGCAGUGAAAUGCGUAGAUAUGCGGAGGAACACCGAUGGCGAAGGCAGCACUCUGGUACAUGACUGACGCUGAGACGCGAAAGCGUGGGUAGCAAACAGG